rnacentral:rRNA from 1 species
AGUGAACGCUGGCGGUAGGCCUAACACAUGCAAGUCGAACGGCAGCACAGUAAGAGCUUGCUCUUACGGGUGGCGAGUGGCGGACGGGUGAGGAAUACAUCGGAAUCUACUUUUUCGUGGGGGAUAACGUAGGGAAACUUACGCUAAUACCGCAUACGACCUACGGGUGAAAGCAGGGGAUCUUCGGACCUUGCGCGAUUGAAUGAGCCGAUGUCGGAUUAGCUAGUUGGCGGGGUAAAGGCCCACCAAGGCGACGAUCCGUAGCUGGUCUGAGAGGAUGAUCAGCCAAACUGGAACUGAGACACGGUCCAGACUCCUAAGGGAGGCAGCAGUGGGGAAUAUUGGACAAUGGGCGGAAGCCUGAUCCAGCCAUACCGCGUGGGUGAAGAAGGCCUUCGGGUUGUAAAGCCCUUUUGUUGGGAAAGAAAAGCAGCAGGUUAAUACCCCGCUGUUCUGACGGUACCCAAAGAAUAAGCACCGGCUAACUUCGUG